rnacentral:lncRNA from 1 species
GCGCGCCCGGUGGCCGUUGGCGCUCGCGCCGCGUCUUUCUUCUCGUACGCAGAACUCGGGCGGCGGCCUAUGCGUUUGCGAUUCGACGAGGAGUCGUCCGGGUGGUCGGCGGCGGCGGGCAGCUGCUCCGCCCCGCUCCGGGGGAGGCGGCGGCGGCAGCGGCCGCGGGAUUUGGAGCGGCCGGGGAGGCGGGGGUGGCCGGGGCCGGCUUGGAGGCCUGGCGCCACCCUUCGGGGCCUGCAAGGACCCAGUUGGGGGGGCAGGAGGGGGCCGGAGGAUGGUUGGUUGUGGGAUUUCUACUUUGCCUUUUCCUCCUUAUGCCGCCUUAGUGAGGGGCGGGAGCUCUGGCGGCAGCCCCGGGGUGGGGAGACGAGCUCCGGAGUCGGAAGAGCUGGGUUUUCUUCCGGGCCUAGCCACCAGUUGGCGGAGUGACCUUAGGCGAGUCACUCUGUAAUUUGUCUGCGCCUCAGUUUCCUCCUCUGCCUAUCAAUGUGUGUGGGGUUGAAAUCGCUUUGUAAACUAUAAAGCGUGGGUGUACGUAAAGGAUGGUUAUUGUUUAUAAUUUUUUUUGAGUUGUAAGAAAACUUAGCAGUUCCCCAAUCCUUGGGUUUUGAACCUGGGAACCUUGGAUUGGAGUUGGGGAUCCCCAAACUUCCUGAAAUUGUGGGAAUGUGCGGUUUGGGGGAAUGAUGGGAAUUUGUGGGAAUGUGCGUUUUAGGGGAAUGAUGAUCCAUCGCUAGCAAGUUUUCCAAGGGGGCUGUGACCCAGAAGAGUUAAGAAUCACAAUUUCUUCAUGCUACAGAGAGGAAACUGAGGCCUAGAUGUCAUUUGGGACCCUUCACAACCAUUUUGAAGCCCUGUUUGAGUCCCUGGGAUAUGUGAGCUGUUUCUAUGCAUAAUGGAUAUUCGGGGUUAACAACAGUCCCCUGCUUGGCUUCUAUUCUGAAUCCUUUUCUUUCACCAUGGGGUGCCUGAAGGGUGGCUGAUGCAUAUGGUACAAUGGCACCCAGUGUAAAGCAGCUACAAUUAGGAGUGGAUGUGUUCUGUAGCAUCCUAUUUAAAUAAGCCUAUUUUAUCCUUUGGCCCGUCAACUCUGUUAUCUGCUGCUUGUACUGGUGCCUGUACUUUUCUGACUCUCAUUGACCAUAUUCCACGACCAUGGUUGUCAUCCAUUACUUGAUCCUACUUUACAUGUCUAGGCUGUGUGGUUGGUGGUGAAUAGGCUUCUUUUUACAUGGUGCUGCCAGCCCAGCUAAUUAAUGGUGCACGUGGACUUUUAGCAAGCGGGCUCACUGGAAGAGACUGAACCUGGCAUGGAAUUCCUGAAGAUGUUUGGGGUUUUUUUCUUUCUUAAUCGAAAGUUAACAUUGUCUGAAAAGUUUUGUUAGAACUACUGCGGAACCUCAAAAUCAGUAGAUUUGGAAGUGAUUCAAAGCUAAACUUUUUCCUUGGCCCUCCUUGUGUUCUAAUUGCUUGCAAGUGUAAUACUAGGAUGUCCAAGAUGCCAGUUUUUGCUUCUUUGUUAGUUGUCAGCUGCUUUUAUCAAAUUUCAGGCCAUUAUCCAACAAACACUAUAAAAAUGUUUGAACAAUUGGAUUUCAAACAUUUUCGUUUUGUGGAGUGGUGCUCACCAAGUGGUACAGCCCUAAGCAAGUGAACACAAACACAUUUAAGUGUAUUUUGUCUGAUUAGAUGUUAGCCAGUUAUGCUAUUUCAUUCAAAUGUCUGAAAAAAUCAAUUGACUAUUCCCUUUUCCUAAAGGGCAGAGACAGAUAAUCUCACUUCCAGAGAAAUGACUUGGAGAAAAAAAAGUGUUGGUCUUUUUGCUCUUUUGUAAUUAAAUCCGGAUGUACCUCAAAAGACUUAAGACUGUGGUGAUAAGAUGCUUUCCUCAGCAGAAAGGAGGGAAAAAAAACAACUGGAACUCAAAGCUUGAAAUUCUGUGGCAAAACAUGAGAUGUCCAGGAUUGGAGGUUGAAAAGAUUUCACUACAGUGUUCUGCAAUAGUUGGAGCAGAUAACUUUCAGUGUAGCCACAGCCAUGGACUCCAGAUUUCCAGAUUUUCAAGACCUGGACCUGGAACCCGAAAGAGCUUGUCACGAUGCGGCAGGAACACUGGAGGUAGAUUUUUUUUUAUUUUUGAAUUUUGGGACUGUUGACCUUGCUGUGAGAAAAGAGACAACGACUGAGCAAGCACUACCACCAGCACUGUUACUGGGAAUUAGAAGACCUGAGUUUCUGUCCAGACCCUCAGUGCAAACUGAGGAUGCUCCAUCCAAAGUGAAUUAUGGUACUUGCCAUUUUCCAAAAUGCCUUAUCCUUUACCAUCUCUGCACUUUUGUUCAUACUCUCAUUCUACUUUGGAACUGCUGCUCUGUGGCUUUUCAUCUGUCAAAACUGCCAUUUUCUCAGUAUCCAACUCUUAUGCCCUCUUUUCCAUGAGUCUCCUAACUAGCCAGAAUAGAGCUUUAAAGUUUUAUGACAUUUCGUUAUGUAUCCUCUAUCUGUAUACAAAAUCCUGUAAAAUAGUUACUUGCCUGCAUUUACUGUCUUUGCAGAUAGCAGACUCCUUGAAAGCAGGGUCCUUGUUUAGUGCAUCUUUGCCCACAUACACCACAACAUAUCAAGAUGCAUUUAUUAGGAAGGAGGAGUUUAGAGAGCAGGCUAUCAGAAUAACCACUCAUCCUGUGCCUCCUGAUUGCUGAGUGUUCACCUGGACCUUCUGACUACCUUCCCUGUGCUAUUCCAUCAGCCUACAGACCUGGUACCUGGAUUUUUGCCCGAGAUGAUUCCUACCACCUUACUACUGACGAAGACACCCAUUCCAGUGGACCACUGUGACCCAGGAGGCAUUCAGCCAUCAUGAUGUGGCCUUUACCUCCACUCCUGUCUUGUUCUACCCAGAUUCAGCACAGCCCUUUAUAGUGAAGUCAGAGUCCUCAAGCCAAAUAGCUAAAGCUGUUUUAUCACAACAAAGGCCUAGUUUGUUCCAUGAGUGUGCAUUUCAUUUCUUCAGUUAAAGCCUUCAGAGACACACAAUAAAUUUGGACCAGGGGAUUUUUUAGUUAUUAAUGCUCUCUGAAGAAAGGCAACAUCUUUUUGAGAGCAGCAUUGGACCACACCCCACAAUCUCAAAUGAUUGAAAUUCAUGAACAUCUAGGAUCCCGUGAAGGUCACUGGACCCUGUUUUUUCUACUUCAAAUCCUGUAGUAGCCUACUGAAUGAGAAAACAUAUUCUGACCCAUUGGGAUCAAAUCAAAGGCACAGUGAACUCCUCAUAGCAUCUUCUUUGGAAUUACUCAGGAACCAGAACUUUUUACACAAAUGUAAGAAAUUCUACCAAGGAGUCCCCUUACCUAACAGCAUCUCACAAGGCUGCACCAGAUUCCAGAAAAGGCUUCUCUUGAUACAUCAAGCAUUUUGUGACCGACUUAUUCUUAGAUCAUUGGUUUUCCAAAGGCUUUGUGGCCAUGAAGCCCUUUGAGUGAAAACUGUGCAGAAGCCCAGAGUAAAAGUGAAGCUGCUCUGGAUGAAGUAGUGAAGCAAGAGUAGGGGCCUGAAUCCUGCUACAACUAUCUUCCUUUACCACCGUGGUGACACCUAAGGGGACUUCCUUACAACACCUUGAACUCUUCCGAACACAGUUUGAAAACCACUGCCCCAGACAGCAAUAUGUUUGACCUGAAUGGCAUUCCAAUCUUUUCUGUACCUCCACUCAGCACAGUUCAUGUUCAGUAGAUGCUGAACAUUCUUAGAAAUACUGUGUGUGAACUUAGAAAAGUGCAAGAAGACAGGCAUGUCUUUGACCCCAGGAAUGAUCAUUUGCUGAAGAUGGUGUCAAGUGAACCUAGAUUAACAGCCCUCCACUCCAGAUGGAUAUCCAGUGAUUCCUAGAAUGGGAUAUAGCCAGAGAACAAUUCUAUGCACCCUACACUGACAGACUCCCUUAAGCAACACCAGAUGCUCUACUGGUACUUGAAGUACAUGACUUUGAAGUCUUGACCCUCCAUGAAUACCUGAAUUAUCAGCAAGCGGGUUUUGAAGCUGGUGCCUCAUUGAGGCCAUAUUAGAGCAACUUGUACAUUUGACCUCUUGUUAUCAGCCAUGGUACUCUACUUCGUGUGCAAGAGAUAACUAUGAAAGCCAAAUUCAAAUACUGGCAACAUUUCCUAAAGGGGCUCAAUAUCUAUCAUUCGUCUUCUUUUCCAAACUACACAUCACUGUAUGACUCAACCAGUAGCAGUUAUAUUGCCCCUUGGUUUUUAUUCAGUUUAACUACUGUUUCCAAGAUAAAUGAGCUAAUAAGCUUUAAAAAAAAAAAAAAAAAAGGCUGAAUUCUUUUUUCUUCAUCACUGGCAUAUCUGCCUAUUCUCCAGAAUUAUUAUGACUAUUCAGCUCACUUUAACAGUUGAACUUCAAGCGACAAUCUUUGAACACCCCUUCUCAUGUGAUUUAAAAUGAAACCAUUUGGAAAAGUUUCUUCUAGCCAGUAAUAGAUUUUUUUUUUAAUUGCUCUGCCUUGUGCCGAGAGAUGUUCUUUUAAGAUGAAUCUUUUGAUGUCUGAUACCACCAAAUAUAGGUGGUAGGGAGAGUUGGAGGCUGGCCCUUUGAGCAGGCCAUUAGCUUACUUGCUGGGCAUUUCCGAUAGCUUAUUGCCUACCUUUUUGCUGGAAACAAACUGAUUUGAAAAACAAAAUCUAUGAAGACUGCAGCUAAGGAUUUUAUCGGUAGACUUAAGAGCUUUUGUCCUUGUGGAUAUUUUAGUGGAACCACAUCAGUCUCAAUACUGUCAUUUUACACUGACUCAGAGCAGCUGACUUCAUUCCUUGCCAUGAUAUAUAUUUAAGGCAGGCAUUGUAACAGACAUAAAGACAACUUAUCUGUUUCAGCAGGAAGGAUUCAGUUUAUGAACUCUCAGACCAGAUCAUGUUGAACAAGGAGACUUUGAUGUGUGUCAUGAGAAAACUCAUUCUUUACUUCCCAGUCAAUUUAAAGGCCAGCUAUCCUGAGCUACUCGAAUGAAUGCACUGGUUAAACAUUGGAAAUAGUUUGUUUAUAUCCUUGUCUCUCUCUAGGCCAAUUGUGAUUACAUGACUCGACUCUACAUCUCGUCAAACAAGGCCUAGGUCUGGUUGCUGUAGACUGCUCGCCCUCAACAAAUAAAAUCUGGUUGACUAGCCUCCUUGUAUAUACAACUAUUAUUUGUUAAGAAGAAAUUAUCGUCAAUUUUCUACUACCUUCCAAUUGUCAGCUCUUUUUUUCCUCUCUGGUUUUUCCUAUACUUUACAGAAAAAGACAUUGAUCUAUACUGCCAUUCCCUCUAAUCCUGCCAUACUCAGUCAAAAGGAAUGACUUAAGAUGAAGAUGAUCAUCUGCUCGAGUCUAAAAUAUACAUUGUAUAUAAGAAUUGGUGAUUAGAAAAGCAAAAAACCUAAAACUUAAAUCUAGGAGUCUGUAUACUGUCUCCAUGUCUCCAUGCCUCAGAUCUCAUCUAAAUCUUUGAACAGCACCAUUCAACCAAUCUGAGGCCUUGACUUGCUUGUAAGAUGAUUCUCAGAGAUCGGCUGAGUUAAAAAAGAUGACGACUUGAUUACCAAAGAAAGUAGGGCCAACUUUGACAAAUCUGGCUCUGCUGACCCUGUCACUCCCAGAUGUAGCAUAGACUCCUAAACAGAACCUCAAGUCUGAUUGAGGAUAAGGCCUUCUCCUGAGCUGAAAGUUCUUUGGCAGAUGAGCAAGAAACUGAAAGCUGAUGUACCUGACUGGCUCUGUAAGAUCAGAAAACUGUAUCCAGAAUAAGCCCUAUGGAUUAACCCCUGAGUACCCAGAGUAAAAACUAAUUUACAGAACUUCCUUAUUGAUCUGCUGGUUCUUCCAGAUCAUAUUCUGGCUAUUGGUAUGGCUGGCCUUUCUGAAGGUACCCUGCUUGUCUAUUUUCCUGACUCAGCUCUUGCCUGCCUUUUUCACAUGUUGCUGCAAUUAGACUCACCGUGAGGACUACAGUCAAUUUCAGUCUAUCUUGUGCCCAAUACAACAAGGAUUUUUAAUAGUAACAACCCACACCUCACCCACUAGGACUCAAUGUUCACAACAGGAAGGACCAUUGCUGCAUACUCCUUGACCAGCAACUUUUUUGAAGAUAUUUUUAAGUGCAGAGUAGGCCUCUAUUCCUGUAUGUAAUUGUUCAUUUUCAGCACCUGGAACCUCAUCUAUCGGGUCUGGAAGGAAUACAGCAGUUCGAAAGCCGCGUCCAUUUCUCUCCUUCAGUAGUGCAGAAAUGAGUCCGAUUCACCAGUACACACAGAACUGUACCAGUUCAACCUAGCAAAAGAAGAAAAGUUUCCACUGUACUUAAAAUUUACAGCUGACUCAAAUUGCCUCACAGAAUUAUUUGAUGUAGAAGGCUAGUUGUCUUACUUCAGAUCAGCAGGACAGUUGGGCUCUCAGACUCAUGACCACUGAGUUUGCUUGUGUUGAAACUGUGGUUUCAUCCAACAUAUGCUAUUGGACAUGAUUAUUAUUCCAUUCAAAUGGAUUACAGACUUCUUGAGGACAGGACAAACUUAUCUCUCAUGGUGUUUUUUUAGAAUACUUUUAUAACCAAGGAAGAAACCAUGCCAGCUGUUACCAUUCAACUUCUUAAGCAGAGAUUAAGCUUUUUCAUAUCUGUUCUUAUCCUGGACAUCAGUAGUUUUUAAUUGCCCAGCAUCCGUUCCAUCUUGUAACAACUCCCUGAUGUUUCUUAAAACCACCUCUUCCUAUUUUCAGUCUGUGGUUUGGACAGUCUGACCCAACCUUGAGCUUUGUGGGUGAACAUGUAAUUCAGACCUCAUCAAUCAGCAAAUCCAUCUGAACUGUGGAGGAGAAGCUCUCUUUACUGAGGGUGCUUUAGCUUUGUAGGAUGAAAACCUCAAACUAACAGGGCCUACCAUGUAGAGAAUGAAGCCAGUGCAGGGGAAAGCAGAGCCAAAAUAUGGAGAGACUUGAAUCCUGAUGACAGCGUUUGUGCCCCUGGAUCCAACCGUGCCUGAAGCUAGAAUAUCCCCUGGACUUUUCAGUUAUGUGAACCAAUAAAUACCCUUUUUUGCUUAAGUUACUUUGAGUUGGGUUUCUGUUACUUGAAAUUGAAUCCACACUAAUAUAUCUACCAACAUUGAGACUUGACAGAUCCAAGUAUUUAUUAAGCUAGAGGUCAUGGUCACUGAAAUUACUUUCCAAAGUGGAAGACAAAAUGAAACAGGAACUGAGGGAAUAUUUAAGAUCCCACAGAAGCGUAAAAAUGACAUGGUAGAAAGUAAUAGAAAACCUAAAUGUCUGUCAUUAAAGGAUAGGUUAAGGUGUGGUUCAGCCAUAUAGGAAUAUCUCGUAUCUGUUAAAAUGAAUAAAGUACAUUCAUUGUGUAUGGAAAAAUGGCCAUGAUACAUUAGGUGAAACAAGUUAUUAAUAGAAAAGUGUACAGUGUGAACUCAUUUUAAAAUGUGUGUGCUUAUGUUUAUAAAUGCAUAGAAAGGUCUAUUCACAGCUUUCUUUGAACAGUGUAGAUCACAUGAAACUUUCAACUUUAUACAUUUCUGUAUUAAUAUUUUACACUACCCACAUUAUUUUUAAACUUUAUUUUAAAUAAAGAAUUUUUAAAAUUAAAUUUAGUGCUU